rnacentral:rRNA from 1 species
AGAGUUUGAUCCUGGCUCAGAACGAACGCUGGCGGCAUGCCUAACACAUGCAAGUCGAACGAAGUCUUCGGACUUAGUGGCGCACGGGUGCGUAACGCGUGGGAAUCUGCCCUUGGGUACGGAAUAACUCAGAGAAAUUUGUGCUAAUACCGUAUAAUGUCUUCGGACCAAAGAUUUAUCGCCCAAGGAUGAGCCCGCGUAAGAUUAGCUAGUUGGUGGGGUAAAGGCCUACCAAGGCGACGAUCUUUAGCUGGUCUGAGAGGAUGAUCAGCCACACUGGGACUGAGACACGGCCCAGACUCCUACGGGAGGCAGCAGUGGGGAAUAUUGGACAAUGGGCGAAAGCCUGAUCCAGCAAUGCCGCGUGAGUGAUGAAGGCCUUAGGGUUGUAAAGCUCUUUUACCAGGGAUGAUAAUGACAGUACCUGGAGAAUAAGCUCCGGCUAACUCCGUA